AUUGAACGCUAGCGGGAUGCUUUACACAUGCAAGUCGAACGAGACGGGCACGGGUGAGUAUUAUACCGGAACGUGCCCAGUUGCGGGGGAUAACUACUCGACAGAGUGGCUAAUACCGCAUACUAUGUGAGCGGCCGGUAUCGGUUUAGCUAGGUGGUGGGGUAAAGGCUCGCCAAGGCAACGAUCCGUAGCUGGGUUGAGAGGAAGACCAGCCACACUGGGAUGGAGACACGGCCCAGACUCCUACGUGAGGCAGCAGUGGGGAAUUUUGGACAAUGGGGGAAACCCUGAUCCAGCCAUCCCGCGUGUAUGAGAAGGCCUUCGGGUUGUAAAGUACUUUUGGCAGAGAAGCGGUAUCUGAAGAAUAAGCACCGGCUAACUACGUGCCAGCAGCCGCGGUAAUAC
rnacentral:rRNA from 1 species